AGACAGCAGUCGCCACGGUAAUACAGAGGGUGCGAGCGUUAAUCGGAUUUACUGGGCGUAAAGCGUGCGUAGGCGGCUUUUUAAGUCGGAUGUGAAAUCCCUGAGCUUAACUUAGGAAUUGCAUUCGAUACUGGGAAGCUAGAGUAUGGGAGAGGAUGGUAGAAUUCCAGGUGUAGCGGUGAAAUGCGUAGAGAUCUGGAGGAAUACCGAUGGCGAAGGCAGCCAUCUGGCCUAAUACUGACGCUGAGGUAAGAAAGCAUGGGGAGCAAACAGGAUUAGAUACCCCUGUAGUCCCUGUCUCUUAUAC
rnacentral:rRNA from 1 species